UACGGGGGGAGCAAGCGUUGUUCGGAUUUACUGGGCGUAAAGGGCGCGUAGGCGGCCACCGCAAGUCGAUUGUGAAAUCUCCGGGCUUAACCCGGAAAGGUCAACCGAUACUGCGGGGCUAGAGUGCGGAAGGGGCAACUGGAAUUCUUGGUGUAGCGGUGAAAUGCGUAGAUAUCAGGAGGAACACCGGUGGCGAAGGCGGGUCUCUGGGCCGAUACUGACGCUGAGGAGCGAAAGCGUGGGGGAGCGAACAGG
rnacentral:rRNA from 1 species